rnacentral:rRNA from 1 species
AUUGAACGCUGGCGGCAUGCUUUACACAUGCAAGUCGAACGGCAGCGCGGGCUUCGGCCUGGCGGCGAGUGGCGAACGGGUGAGUAAUACAUCGGAACGUGCCCAGUAGUGGGGGAUAGCUCGGCGAAAGCCGGAUUAAUACCGCAUACGACCUGAGGGUGAAAGCGGGGGAUCUUCGGACCUCGCGCUAUUGGAGCGGCCGAUGGCAGAUUAGCUAGUUGGUGGGGUAAAGGCCUACCAAGGCGACGAUCUGUAGCUGGUCUGAGAGGACGACCAGCACACUGGGACUGAGACACGGCCCAGACUCCUACGGGAGGCAGCAGUGGGGAAUUUUGGACAAUGGGCGAAAGCCUGAUCCAGCAAUGCCGCGUGUGUGAUGAAGGCCUUCGGGUUGUAAAGCACUUUUGGCGGGAACGAAAAGGACUGUGCCAAUACCACGGUUCGAUGACGGUACCCGCAGAAUAAGCACCGGCUAACUACGCG